rnacentral:rRNA from 1 species
UACGUAGGUGGCAAGCGUUACCCGGAAUCACUAGGCGUAAAGCGCAGGUAGGUGGCCAGAUAAGUCUCUUGUGAAAGCUCCCGGCUUAACUGGGAGAGGCCAAGGAAUACUGUUUGGCUUGAGUAUGGUAGGGGUAACUGGAAUUCCCGGUGUAGCGGUGAAAUGCGUAGAUAUCGGGAGGAAUACCUAUGGCGAAGGCAGGUUACUGGGCCAUUACUGACACUGAGCUGCGAAAGCUAGGGGAGCAAACAGG